UACGUAGGGUGCGAGCGUUGUCCGGAAUUACUGGGCGUAAAGAGCUCGUAGGUGGUUUGUCGCGUUGUUCGUGAAAACUCACAGCUUAACUGUGGGCGUGCGGGCGAUACGGGCAGACUGGAGUACUGCAGGGGAGACUGGAAUUCCUGGUGUAGCGGUGGAAUGCGCAGAUAUCAGGAGGAACACCGGUGGCGAAGGCGGGUCUCUGGGCAGUAACUGACGCUGGAGGAGCGAAAAGCCGUGGGGAGCAAACAGG
rnacentral:rRNA from 1 species